GAGGCUAUAGCUCAGUGGUAGAGUGCAUGCUUAGCAUGCAUAAGGUCCUGGGUUUAAUCCCCAGUACCGCCA
rnacentral:tRNA from 1 species